rnacentral:lncRNA from 1 species
AGUAGCAUUUGUGGCGACCGUGGCAGUGGCUGUGACUGGAAGCUUCUGGAAAUGGCGGCGAUGAGGACCCCCACAUAGGGAUGGCCAUAGCAGCCACAAAAGGAAGCAAACAAGAACAAGUCCUGAUGGAGCAAUUUAUGAAGACAGGCAGCAUAGAGGGAGAAGAACCUGUCUGUCAACCCCACACACGCUUUCCCAGACGUCUCCUGAAAGCUGAGCAUUUGUUAUCUUAAAGCCUCUUACCAGUUUGGAUAGAUAUGGAUCUUCCAAAAUUAAUGAGCUCCUUAAUAUCGACACUGUUUAUCAACAUAAAGGAUCAAUUUAGGAAGAUUAUAAAAACUGAAGUUUCCGGAACAAUAAAUGGGAGAAUUAAUCUUCUGAAUCAAGGACGUAUCCCUGAAUCUGGGGAGCUCUCUAUCAAAAUAUACAUGCUGGAACCCUACCAAAGGAAUAAUAAAUCUGGAAUGAGGCUCUGACUGUCUAAUUAGGAAAAGACUCCUUCCUGGAAUUCUGCACAUCUCCCUACACCUUAGUGACGGUUAAAUAAAUAAUUAUUAAGCUUCUGGA